GAUUAGCGGCGGACGGGUGAGUAACACGUGGGUAACCUGCCUCAAAGAGGGGAAUAGCCUUCCGAAAGGAAGAUUAAUACCGCAUAAUAUGUUUUGGUCGCAUGAUCGAGACAUCAAAGGAGUAAUCCGCUUUGAGAUGGACCCGCGGCGCAUUAGCUAGUUGGUGAGGUAACGGCUCACCAAGGCGACGAUGCGUAGCCGACCUGAGAGGGUGAUCGGCCACAUUGGAACUGAGACACGGUCCAGACUCCUACGGGAGGCAGCAGUGGGGAAUAUUGCGCAAUGGGGGAAACCCUGACGCAGCAACGCCGCGUGAAUGAUGAAGGCCUUCGGGUUGUAAAGUUCUGUCUUCUGGGACGAUAAUGACGGUACCAGAGGAGGAAGCCACGGCUAACUACGUGCCAGCAGCCGCGGUAAUACGUAGGUGGCAAGCGUUGUCCGGAUUUACUGGGCGUAAAGGAUGCGUAGGCGGACAUUUAAGUCAGAUGUGAAAUACCCGAGCUUAACUUGGGUGCUGCAUUUGAAA
rnacentral:rRNA from 1 species